GCAGGGGUAUCGGAGCCCGGCCAAACGAGGGGGACUCAAGAUCCCCUCCCCUCAGGGGGUGCGCGGGUUCAAAUCCCGCCCCCUGCACCA
rnacentral:tRNA from 2 species